GAACACUGCGCUGGCUUUAUAUGGGGCUUCUACAAACAGGGAUACAAGUGUAAAGCGUGUGGAAUUAAUUGUCACAAGGCAUGUCGAGGUCGUCUUGCUGUGGAGUGUCGUAAACGGACCAAGAGCAUCAGCCAUGAGCAUGCUCCCUCCCUUCAGGCCCGCUCCUAUAGCUUCCCCCCUCCGGCCAACACCCCACCCAGCCUACAGAACACAGUGAUUGUAGAGGAAGAUAUCGAGGCAGUAGAGGAAGGUGUGUUUGAUGUCCAUCUAUAACCAGAUGAUAACCAACAGGCAGGCCUGAGAUGUCCCUUCAGAAGUCCUGCAUACUCUGGCAUUCAUACAGCCAAACACAGCUGGGAGGAAACAACAGUAGUCGGGAGCCAGAAGCCUGCUGGGGUCUGUUCAGCAGGAUGCAAUGUUACGGAAUGUUGCAGAUAGAAAUGUAUCAUCUAGUACAGAUCUGAUUGUCUGUCGUGUAGAAGAGAGAACGGUGUCCACUUUAUUAAUUUAAUUUCUAUCUGCAACCUUCAAGGCGUUUAACAUUGAUCACUGACUGAAAACACCUCUGGUGAGACUCCCAAAGAGAGAGAGAGAGAGAGACAUUGCACUGAACACAACACAGAAUACCUACAUGCUGCCACAUAGUGGUAAAAUACUGCAAAUGCAUACCUUCAAGCACUCAAGACUUCUUCCUCUGUGUAUUUCAACCCCUCAACUCCCUUAAGUGAACGUGAACGUGAAUGUGAAUUUAUAUUUAAAAAUCUGGAUAUAGGCUCAUGUUUUCAUAUCUCUUACCAAGUUUAAACACUGAAUAUAGAAAAAAAAUCACAUAAUUGUGUUUAGUGUAAUGUUAUUACCUCCCAAGUCUAAGUGGUGUUAUGUUUUCAGUGCAUUUAGCUAUAUGGUUUUAUUAUACCUAUAUUAAUAACCUAAACGAUGUCUCUCCAAAAUACAAAAGGUGCUGUUAUUGCCAAGAAAAAAUGUAUAGGCUACAUGCCACCUGGACUUCCAACUUCUUUUUCUGAAAAAAGCUUUGCUUUGUCUGAGUAGUUUGGUAUCUUGUUUCUUUGUAAAUGUUAUGGGAGAAACUUUAAAACACACAAUGUGUUCGAUGUCAGAGAUGAAACGUUUCAGCUCCAGAACUACUGCUUCUUUCGUGGAUUGGGUAUCAAACCCCUAUCUAUCACAACAACAACAACAACAACAACUCAUAUUGACUGUGGAACAUACAUCCUGAAUUUGAAUAGCAUUUGAAUGCUGUUGUGUUUUUAGUCCUCCUGUUUACCUGAAGAUCAAUGCUAUUCCUGUGGUAAUUUGACUGUGGUGUGUAUGCACGGUCUACUGUUUUAAUACUGUUAUGUUUCAGUGCACCGACAUGGCACCUUUCCUCUCUCAGUAACUUUGAAUGUAGUUUGAAAUGGUGAAUGUUAUAUAUCGUCCUGAGAAUUUAAAUCUAUUUUAAGUCUAUUUUAAUACGAGACAUGUUAGUCUAUUGUUGUAUCAAGCAUGCUUCUUUGCUUUGAGGGGAUCUACUCUUGCCAAAAUGUCUGUUAAGUGUAUUUGUAUGUUGCACGUAUAUUUAUUUUUUAAUGGCAACAUGAAAUCCUGUAGGCGAGAGACUCUCCUCAAUGUUUGGGGUCUGUAUGCUCUGAGGGAUAGUCCCACAAUGUUAGCUGUUUGUGUACCUUUGAAUGAAGUACUUCCUCUGGCUUUCAUUAAUACUCUAUAGUAUAUCCUGCUUCUUUAUUUAUGUCCAAAACUAAACUGCCAGCCUUACCAUGGCAGUCUCUCCUGGACAAGGGUAUCACUUGUUACAGUAAGUGAAUGAAUGCUUUAAGCUGAUGUCAUGUAGGUAAGUGUGGAUAUCUCUCUGCUGUUUCUCAGUGUUAAAUGCAGAAUGCAUCACUCUGCUAUUUGUUUUAAGAAGGAUUUACAACAUGAUAGGACUAAUGGCAAAGCAACCCAGUGAAGCGUUGUGUGUGCAUGUGUGUGUUUGUGACUCGUACAGAAUCCAUUCUCGCCACACAUUCCUUGUCUAAAGUUUAGAUACAACCCACUUUCCCUACCAUCAUCAUAUAGUUGCUUGACGUCCGGUAUUGGAAUUCUUAACCAGCCGGCCAUGUGUUCUGUAAUUACCAAAGAAACUAAGGGCUCUAUUCAAUCCGUAUUGCAGAAGUUCAGCGUUACAGAUUUGAAAUGUAAAGGCAAUUAGCGUUAACUGAAACUUAAUUCACCGUAAACGUUGUGUGUGUUGACUCAAUCGGAAAUUAAGUUUACAUUUCUAUCUGGCAAUCUGUAACGCUUCAGCUUCGCCCUCAUGUGGGUGCUAGCAAGCAGGAUAGGUAGUGCUAGAUAUCAGCAUCCAAAUAAGUAGGGUCUGGAAGCUAUAGUGAGCUUCGAUUGGUCAAUAGCAUCGCGAUACCACAGAUUAUUUGCAUAAAGUUCAGCUUUCCCCAACUUUGGUGGGGGCCCCCCUGCACACUUCACUUCCCUCCAUUAAAAAUGAAUGGGGCUCCGUUGUUUCAUCGCCCCCAAUGUGUUCUGUGGAAAUGCACUGUCAGUCGAUAACCGCUAUUUGAAUGCUCUGCUUCCAUCUCACACAUUGAUUUAUGUAGCUAUUCAUCUUUACCCGGCUCAUAUUAAACAUAAUAGCAUCAGA